UACGAAGGGGGCUAGCGUUGCUCGGAAUCACUGGGCGUAAAGGGUGCGUAGGCGGGCUUUUAAGUCAGAGGUGAAAUCCUGGAGCUCAACUCCAGAACUGCCUUUGAUACUGAGAAUCUUGAGUAUGGGAGAGGUGAGUGGAACUGCGAGUGUAGAGGUGAAAUUCGUAGAUAUUCGCAAGAACACCAGUGGCGAAGGCGGCUCACUGGCCCAUAACUGACGCUGAGGCACGAAAGCGUGGGGAGCAAACAGG
rnacentral:rRNA from 1 species